UACGUAGGGACCGAGCGUUGUCCGGAAUUAUUGGGCGUAAAGAGCUCGUAGGCGGUUUGUCGCGUCUGCUGUGAAAGCCCGGGGCUCAACCUCGGGUCUGCAGUCGAUACGAGCAAACUAGAGUGUUGCAGGGGAGACUGGAAUUCCUGGUGUAGCGGUGAAAUGCGCAGAUAUCAGGAGGAACACCGGUGGCGAAGGCGGGUCUCUGGGCAACAACUGACGCUGAGGAGCGAAAGCGUGGGGAGCGAACAGG
rnacentral:rRNA from 1 species